CCAAUAUGUACAGUUCUAGACCACGUUGUAUUUCAGCUUCUCCUAGAAUCAGCAUUUCUUACAUUCAAAAUUACGAAGCAAAGUUACUGGUGAUAUGGGUAUUAAAGAAAAUGCGGCAAUGGGUGUGAAUUUGGAGAUGAUAAGAUUAUUGGUCAAACGCGGCCUCGUUGUGGUUGCAUUUGAUAUGUGGGGUUUUGGUGUUUGGGCGCAAAAGGGUGUUUGCUGCCGAAGGUGUCAUAAAUGCUGAUUAUGGUGUUGUUGGCCAAAGCAUAUUGUUAUAUCGAGGAAAGCGUGCGCUAAGCUUUCUCACCUUAUUAUGGUUUUCAAGGAUCAAGGUUUGGUAUUGGCUGCUCUUCUAGGUUUAUCAUUUUUUUUCUAUGGCUGAGACUUCCAUAACCACGCUAUGGCCGUGGAAGGUAAGAAUCUUGUUAUGUUCCCAUGUAUAGGAUCUCUUCACAGGCGAUGAACUCAAGAUUGCAUGGAUUUUUAGGUUUAUUGGAUGUUUUUUUGUGUAUGAACUUGGACAGGUCUUGUGUAUAAUGAACACCCCACUUGUAAUUAUGAAAAAAAAAAAGAUUACAACACAUUCAUGAUGCUGAAAAGCUGAAGAAUCAGAAGAAAUUGAGUUCAUGGUGCCUCCUUGUGAUAUUGAGCUAAUGCGACAUUUGAUUUAUAAAAUGCAGCAAUAUUGCUAAUGGUGUUUUUCUAUCAUUUACAAGAGAAGAAAAAGGAGGGGAAUGAGAAUUGCCUAUCAGUGCGACUGUGUGAGAUAGUUGGUGAACUUAACACUUUGCAAUAAACUUAUUCGAGCAUGAUAUCUAGUUUGACUUGGUGUAUUUGAAGAACUUAUGUUGAGGAAAGGAUCAAGGUUUAUAACUUGUAUUGCAAGUUGAAGUAUUAAUUUUAAUCUUGACUUUGACAUUUCAAGAGAGGGUGGAUUUGGUGUAAAGUUACUCCAUUUGUGAUCGGGAGCUCAUAGGUCCGAGCCACAGACACAAUCUAUCUGCAAUGGGGCUUAAGGCUAUGUACAUUAACCCUCCCCACGGCCCACAAGUGUGGGAUGUUCUCGUGCCCAAUGUCACACUUUGACUGAAAUUUAAUGAAUGUGCUGAACAGAAUAUGACAAUUCAUCUAACACAGAGAAAUUGAGUUGACAUCAUUUAAAACAUUUUUUUGUAGCAUAAUUUUAUAAAAUAAAUACAGAAACGGUUAUUGAGAUUUAAGCUGCAAUACCCGUCUUUUCAGCAUACUGUUUUCCAUAUAGUAUUAUGUCUGGUAAAUUCAGCUGGAUUCUGAUGUUUGCAUAUGUUACCUCUUUUCAUCUCUGUGAUGAUUGUUCUUUGAAUUUAAUUGUCCACCCAACAUUAAUCUCUCAGCCUCAGGUCCGUGAGCUAGCUGAAAAAGAGUCUGAUGAUGGUGUGUUCAUAAUGCAUCCUAGAGAUAUACUCGGUUUCUGACAACAAUUCUCAUCGGCACAGCAUACUUUCCCCUUCUAACCAUUGAUAUUUGAUAAUUGAACCAUAUGUUACUGAAGAUGAUGCUGCAAGGAGCAGAACUGAGUGGGCAAUAGAAAAUCAGCAUUCUGCUUCUGUAGCUUUUUCCAAGAGGUAUUAGCUGGAAAUGCCAGAAAAGUCGGUGCUGUUCGAUUUGAACGUAUAGACAAUGAUGAUGUAAUGUUGGAGACCAAAGAAGUAACCCACUAGGUUCCCAGAAACAUGAAGAGGAAAUGGAGCAGUGGUGAAGAUUCUGAUGGUUCUGAUUAUGAUGAGGAUUCAUUCCAAUUUAGACCAAAGCAUGGUCUUUCUGCCUCCAAUGUAAAAGCUGAACAUGAUGACAAUGAGAGUCCUGGUAGACAGUAGUUAUCUCUCUCUCUCUCUCUAACAGCUCCAUGAAAGCAGUAAAAGGACUUGAGAAACAAAAGAAUGGAACAAGGAUACAGGAGAUACAAACAUUGUAAAACUUUUUCACAGAUGAAGUGAUGUAUCAACAUCUGAUACAUCAAAGUCAUUUGCUAUGCGUGCGACAGUAUUUUUGGACCGUUUUGCCCAGUUUGGAGGCUCAUUGAUUACGAGACUUGUAUGCUUGCUCUCCAUGUUUGGCUGGAGGUAGCGAGAGCCUUGAAGUGGUUGCCCAGGUGAAUGGCUUAAUUCAGGGUGUAAAAAGGGCCUGGAUGGCUCAUAAGCUUUCGCUGACUUGACUUGUUCUGCUUCAGUGAAAAGUCUUAGGAGGUCCCUCUUCUGCCUCAUCUCCUUUGCUCUCUCGAGCUGUCUAAACCUCUCUUGCAGAAGGGCAAUGGAGGAAGGCAUGAUGGUUGGAUCACAGUUUUGCGUACCCAUUGAUGGCUAACUGGUAAUCUCUUAAAGGAGAGCACUGGGAGUUCUCUUUGGUAAGGCCUUGGAUUUCUGCGUUGCUAUAUAUAAGACGUGUAUAUGUGGUGCGUUCACUAAUAGAUUCUGAAUGAUGUAAAAGGAACAGUGGAAUCGGCAGCUGAGUUGCUAAGUCCAAGAAGACAUGGUUGUGUGGCUAACCUUAAGAAGUCUGGGAUGGUGUAUUUGAGAAAAGGCCAAAGGACUUCUCAAGGAUAAAAGGGUAGGAAAAGAAAAUACAAAAUAAGAAUGGAAGGUAGUUUUUGGAAGGGUUUAUAAAGCGGAAUAAAAAGAUAGGUGAUGCUUGUCUGCAAGAGCUGCUAUAGCUUUGGAGAAGAUGUGCCUCAUUUGGUGGGACGUUUUUAUUAUUUAUAGCUUUAAACAUUCUCUUUUCAGCUUUGUGAAGUGCAAUAAAAGAAAGUAAAAAUAAGGAUGUAGAGGCAGGACAAGGGUUACAACA